rnacentral:lncRNA from 1 species
CUAAAUUAAGCAGCAGUUGGGCAAAUAUUUGCACAAUAUGAUCAAUCAAGGAAACAGAGAUCAUAAAGAAAAAAACAAUCAAAACUUCAGGAAACAUUGGAUACACUUAUAGAAAUGCAAAAUGAUCUGGAAAGUCUCAGCAAUUAUAAUUGAACAAGUAGAAGAAAGAAAUUCAGAGCUCAAAGACAAGGUCUUUGAAAUAACUCAACCCAACAAAAAGGAGAAAUCGGGCUUCUACUCCACAAUAAG